rnacentral:rRNA from 1 species
UACAGAGACCUCAAGCGUUAUCCGGAUUUAUUGGGCGUAAAGCGUCCGCAGGUGGUCCAUUAAGUCGUCGGUCAAAUCCCGGGGCUCAACCCCGGAACUGCCGACGAUACUGAUGGACUUGAGACCGGUAGAGGCAAGCGGAAUUACAGGUGUAGCGGUAAAAUGCGUUUAUAUCUGUAAGAACACCAAAGGCGAAAGCAGCUUGCUAGAACGGUUCUGACACUCAUGGACGAAAGCGUGGGGAGCGAAAAGG